rnacentral:lncRNA from 1 species
GUUUUUAAGUCAUAUUAUUAGGUAUUACCAAUAUUAUAAACUUGUAUGUGUGUGUGUGUGUAUGUGUGUGUGUGAUAGAAAAUAUUUUAAUUUUAGUCCCGGAAUAAAAUCUAGAAAUUGCAAACAUAACCUACUUUCAUUGCUUAUUUGCUAUUUUAAUUUGAAUUCUAAACAUCUGCGUUUAGAGUCGUUGCAUUUACGAUCUGAUCUUCUAACGACUGUUGUCAUGAUCAUAAAUGAUAUCACUAACUAUUCGUCCAAUGAGAUUACAUGAUAUGACUAUUUGAUAUAAGCCAUGCAUACAACAAACUUCGUCCGAUGAUUCAACUUUAUGGAUGGUUUUUAUAUACCAAACAGAUGUUACACAUCCCUACUCACGACGUCUACUUUUGUUUUACCAAAAUUACGGUAACAAAUUGUGAUUAUUAUUUAAAUUUUUCUACCAAAAUUUUUCAUUUACCGAAAUGAUUUUUCAGGCCCUAAUUUUAUAAAUAUGUAUAAUUAUAAUAUGCAACCGACGAAGAUGAUUACAUCACGAAAUGGUUAAACUUUACAAUUUCCUUAAUUAAUUAUGC